CGAACGUAGUUGUCGAUGAGGUGACAGUGAGAGGGCGAUGUCACAGGAAAAUGUCCCUGAGGAAAAAUGAGGAGGCUCAUCACCUUCAGUGAUCAGGUUACACUCGAUUCUCAAGAGUUUCCCGUGGUACUGAAGUGCAUGUCAUGUUCCUUCUCGGCUGGGAAAGCACUACACAAUCAGAUAGUGGCAUUUCUGUUUCAAACUUCUCACUACAGUACCGUGGGCUUCAGGACGGGGCCAUUGCCUCUGUCAUGCACCAGCUCACUGCAGACCUGGGACACAGGGAAUUGCACCAGAGGCUAUAAAGGACAUGGCGGUGUGUAACCCAGUGGCAAAGACAAGGAAUAGUGUCAGGACUGGUGUGAAGAGCACACUGUACAGAGCAUGUGGUGGGCCUCUUCCAGUUCCUCACGUCAUGGCCAGCGGGGAGAAACUGAAAGACGAACUUCCACAACUGGGGAUAUGCAAAUUGCUGCAUGGACAUGAGGACCUUAAUUUGGUGGACUCUACAUUUGGCCCUGUGCCUUUUGGGUCUGUGCUCGCUUACCAGUGCCUUCCUGAAAUACGUAGAGACAUAUGUAGAGACAUUAUUGAACACCCUGGUGACAUUAUUGAACACCCUGAGUUUCCUCAGUUGCCUGUUGACAGAUACAGAUUUAAAUUUCCUAUAGAUUUUGAGCCCAGCUAUAAGCAACAGUGCCACUUGGAGAGCCUAAAGGUGUCAUGAAAGAUCUCCGCUGCUAUUGAGGCAGAAACCCGACUGCAGUCAAAAUGCCAGCUGUGGACCCAGCUGUUCAAUCUGAAACAGUCAAUAUAUUCUACAUAGAAACAAGUCCAUAUUUAAGAAAAGGCGGCUGGAUAAAGGUAUUAUAUUUAUGAAGGAUGUGUUGAAGGGUGACUUGUCUCGGCAUAAGUACCAAGCGCAUGAAGAUCGGCCGCACCACACGCACCGAGGACAAGAUCCUGUCCGUCGAGAUCAAGCGCGGCUGGAAGGAGGGCACCAAGAUCACGUUCCCACGGGAGGGCAACGAGGGGGGGGGUUAAUAAAGGUUUACAGAUGUUGAGCGUCAAGUUAAUAGAUGUUUGUUAUGUCCAGAUGUUGAGUGUAAUGUUAAAUGUUUACAGAUGUUCAGGGUCAUUGAUAAUAGAUGAUUACAGAUGUUGAAAAUCAUGUUAAGAGAUGUUCAGUGUUAUGUUAAUAGAUGUUUACAGAUGUUGAGGAUCAGGUUAGUGGAUGUUUACAGAUGUUGAGGGCGGAUGAUGUUAAAAGAUGUUUAUAGAUGGCGUUUAUAAAUUUCAGGGUCUAAUAGCAGAUGUGUACAGAUGUUCAGGGUCCUGUUAAUGCGUGUUUAUCUGUUUAUGGAUG